rnacentral:rRNA from 1 species
GACAGAGGAGCCAAGCGUUGUCCGGAGUAACUGGGCGUAAAGAGCUCGUAGGCGGCUGCUCAAGUCGAAUGUGAAAACUCGAGGCUCAACCUCGAGCCUGCAUUCGAUACUGGGCGGCUAGAGUCUGGUAGGGGGAUCUGGAAUUCUCGGUGUAGCGGUGAAAUGCGUAGAUAUCGAGAGGAACACCUGCGGCGAAGGCGGGUUGCUGGGCUGACACUGACGCUGAUUGUGCGAAAGCUAGGGGAGCGAACGGG